rnacentral:rRNA from 1 species
CAGUCGCCACGGGAAUACGGAGGGUGCAAGCGUUAAUCGGAAUUACUGGGCGUAAAGCGCACGCAGGCGGUCUGACAAGUCAGAUGUGAAAUCCCCGGGCUUAACCUGGGAACUGCAUUUGAAACUGUCAGGCUGGAGUCUUGUAGAGGGGGGUGGAAUUCCAGGUGUAGCGGUGAAAUGCGUAGAGAUCGGAAGGAACAUCUGUGGCGAAGGCGACUAUCUGGGCCAACACUGACACUGAGGCACGAAAGCGUGGGGAGCAAACAGGAUUAGAUACCCCGGUAGUCCCUGUCUCUUAUAC